UGCGUAGGUGGUUUCUUAAGUCAGAGGUGAAAGGCUACGGCUCAACCGUAGUAAGCCUUUGAAACUGGGAAACUUGAGUGCAGGAGAGGAGAGUGGAAUUCCUAGUGUAGCGGUGAAAUGCGUAGAUAUUAGGAGGAACACCAGUUGCGAAGGCGGCUCUCUGGACUGUAACUGACACUGAGGCACGAAAGCGUGGGGAGCAAAC
rnacentral:rRNA from 1 species